rnacentral:ncRNA from 2 species
ACAUAUGGAUACGGGAGCUUGGAUGAAGCCAGGCUGAGAGGGUGGAGAACUCUGCUACCGACCGUGAAACCUGAUCUGGAUAAUGCCAGCGUAGGAAACGAUCCCAUACGAAUGACU